rnacentral:rRNA from 1 species
ACGGAAGGCAGCAGUGGGGAAUAUUGCACAAUGGGGGAAACCCUGAUGCAGCGACGCCGCGUGAGUGAAGAAGUAUUUCGGUAUGUAAAGCUCUAUCAGCAGGAAAGAAAAUGACGGUACCUGACUAAGAAGCCCCGGCUAACUACGUGCCAGCAGCCGCGGUAAUAUGUAGGGGGCAAGCGUUAUCCGGAUUUACUGGGUGUAAAGGGAGCGUAGACGGCUUUGCAAGUCUGAAGUGAAAGCCCGGGGCUCAACCCCGGAACUGCUUUGGAAACUGUAGAGCUAGAGUGCAGGAGAGGUAAGUGGAAUUCCUAGUGUAGCGGUGAAAUGCGUAGAUAUUAGGAGGAACACCAGUGGCGAAGGCGGCUUACUGGACUGUAACUGACGUUGAGGCUCGAAGGCGUGGGGAGCAAACAGGAUUAGAUACCCUGGUA